UACGAAGGGGGCUAGCGUUGCUCGGAUUGACUGGGCGUAAAGGGCGCGUAGGCGGUUCGUACAGUCAGACGUGAAAUUCCUGGGCUCAACCUGGGGGCUGCGUUUGAUACGUGCGGACUUGAGUGCGGAAGAGGGUCGUGGAAUUCCCAGUGUAGAGGUGAAAUUCGUAGAUAUUGGGAAGAACACCGGUGGCGAAGGCGGCAACCUGGUCCUUGACUGACGCUGAGGCGCGAAAGCGUGGGGAGCAAACGGG
rnacentral:rRNA from 1 species